CCACAGGCCGUAAACCCAAGGUUUCCAGGCGAAGGUUAGUCCGCCCUGGGUUAGUCGGGACCUAAGCUGAGGCCGAAAGGCGUAGGUGAUGGACAACAGGUUGAUAUUCCUGUACUACCGAUAACCGUUUGAGGGAAGGGAUGACACAGUAGGAUAAGCUAAGCACACUGUUGGUUAUGUGUGCCCAUGCAUUGAGGCAGUCAAAGUAGGCAAAUCCGCUUUGAUAAUGCUGGGAUGUGAUGGGGAGCGAAAUUUAGUAGC
rnacentral:rRNA from 1 species